GUGGGGAGCACAUUGAUCAAAGGCUGUUUCAUCCCACUUGGGCACGAACCAUGCCACAUUUUACGGAGGAUGUCGCCCCAGAGAAGAGGGAGGUGGAGAAGAAGCAUAAAUGAAAAGCACUUUUCCCUUCCUCUGUAAGAUGCACAGAGAAUUUCUGACCUUGUGACGUUUGGGAGUGAGGGAAUCCUAUGAAGAGGCAUCAAGGUAUUUCCAGAGAUCCUGUGGUAAGCGAGGUCUGCCCUCUCUGGAGCCAACUUGUCUGUAAUAUCUUCCUAACAGCAGGUAAUGGUGCUAACAUUUAGUGAUUAGAAGUUACUCUUUAGCGUGUUGUAUCCUUGUUCCAUGGGUUUUGGUUACAGGUUAUACGAUUAGGUUUGCGAGAACAGUAGUGAACUAAACUUCUCAGUAAGAGGUCUUCACACCAGGGAAGUGUUACUUUUCUGCAGCAGCCCUGCCUCAUCACUCAUUAGGGAGCUGCAGGUUGUCAACGGCUGCUCUCAGCGCGCGCGCACCCUCAACGUCCCCGGGGGCGCGCACAUUCGCGAGUGUGUGUGUACACACACACACACACACACACACAGCACUAAAACUAAAUUAAGAAGCCGAUGAUUAAGGCAAGCGUCUACUAGGCCUGUCAUUUUAGCAUCCUUCCAUCAUAACAUUGUGGCACCGGCAAUUUUGCUUGAGAACCUCGAGCAAAAAAAAAUCUAUGGGAGAGCCUCGUAUAUAAGAGUGGAAAUGUUUAGCUUGUAUAAGCUAGGGAGCCACUUCAAAAGCGAGAAAGUCCAAGGUGAAGAAAAGGAGCAGGAGGAGGAAGAGGACCAGGAUGAGGAGAAGGCCUUGACGGAGAACGCUGGGACUCUCCAGGAAAGUCUCUGUGAGCUGCCAGGUGUUGCAGGCUCUCUGAAGCAAGAGACAUCCGCAGUCAUGAGAAAAGUCCCCUUGAUCUUCAGCAAAAUGUGCAUAGGUGAAGCUUUGUCCCGACAUUACCCAAAGAAGAACCAGGCGCGGAAAGAUCCGUGAUUAAAUACCACCAGAGGCCCAAGGGACCUUUAGUCUCUGGAAAAACUUCUCAGUCGAAUACUCUGUACUACAGCGUCUUGUAAACAUUGUAAACAUAAUGUCCACUACCCUUUCACUUGUUUCUCAUUAUUUGCCAGUGCCCUCCAGAGGGUAAGUGUUUUGCUGAAAGACUUGAGUCCCUGAUAGUGUGAGAACAGACCUGUUUCAUUUUUAGAUCUGAUCUAUUUGUGAGAAAUGGUCCCACACUGGGGAAGUGCCCCUGAGAGGCCAAUUCCUAUUUUUCCUCUAGUUGCCAAAGGAAAUGGUGCAGUCAGCCCUUCAAAGGAGCCAGGGGAAGCUCAAAAAACAAACAAACAAACAAACAAACAACAACAACAACAAAACAGAGUUGAACGGUUGUCGGUGAAGUUGAAUGAAGGAGACUAGAGCUCAGGUCCUCAGUUUUAACCCCCAGCUCUAUCCCGUAAGGGAGAAAGCGAGACUUGGCAAAAGCCAGCCCACAAAACGAUACUACCUUGGAUUUUUCAUCAGUGGGGCACUGAAAGAGAAAAGGGAAAACAGCUUUAUAAAUAUAUAUCAAGCUGAAAGAAAAACUUACAGGGCUAAAAAUGCUGCCCUCUUAAGAGUUGGAGCUCCUAACUAUCCCCUAACUGUUCUUAAUUAGUUGGAGCUUCAAUGCGAUUUCUAAUAGAAGCCACAAUCUACUUUGGGAAGUGUUAUAGAACCUUUUUGAGAACCUGUGUGCGUGUGUGUGGGGUAGGGGAGCGGUGAACCAAGACUUCUGUUUCUAAGCACACCUCCAAAUGGUCCCCCAGAUACCAGUUGUGUGAGAAAAGAUGGAAAGGUGUGACUCCCUCGCAAUUAUUAGCUGGUCACCUUUGAACUAGUCACCGCUCAAUAGUUAAAUGUACACGGAAAACACUCCGAACAGUUCAAGUAUCUUAUAGGAAAUGCUUGCACCCACUGAAGGUCUGAAAAAAUGAGAGGAGAGAAAACUUCCUAAGAGGGUAAGCAAGCCAGGAGGCAUGCAGAGAACCCUUCAUCCCAGUCUCCCUUAGCGUGAGGAAAGUCACAUCUACUAAUCAAAUUCAUCUGCUUUCUUUAAAAAAUACCUGGGUGGACAAACCAAUGGGCAAAUUUUUACUUUGUGCUUAUCUUACACCCACCUGGCCCUCACUCUCCGGUGUCGGUUCCGGUAGGUCUUCCCACCCCACCAGCUCCCACCCCUCCCCAAGCCAGGGAAAAUCUGUUGGAGCAGCGUUUCUCAAAAGGUCGAGCCCUUCUCCCUCCGCUGCCCACCCCCUUGAGGUUGUAACUGCGAGGGUUUCCUUCCAGGAGCGUCGCGGAGCUGGGGCUCCCAGGUCUGCGCGCCGCUGCUCCCUGCGCUUACCCGCGCACUCGCCCGGCGCUCCUUUGUUGCAGAGGCUUGCAGAGCGCAAUCCAGCCAGAGGCCUUGAUUCUAGGCGUCAUCUCUCCAGAUGUCCCCCCCUUAAAGUUGGCUUUUCAGCCUAAGUAUCUCUUUUUUGGCACAUCAGACCGGAUACAUACACGUAUCAAUAAUUCUGGGCCAAGAGGUCAUCUGCCACGGUAAACGCGGGGAAAUAGAAAACAGUUAAAGGUUUGGAGCUUGUAUUUCUAUAAGGCUCGGAACAUCUCAGAGUUAAAAGACUGAGGUGCAUGCAGGUGACGUGAAUUCAAAUAUUCAAUUGCACAUAAUGGGUAUUGAACCCAGUCGGGGAGAGCAGUCAUACCCGUAUUUCUCUCCCGCUCUUUGGAAGGAGUCGUAUGCGGGGAGGAGAGGAGAGGACGGACUAAGCUACUGGUAGAGCGGCAUCAGGAGCAAGUUACCGUUAUCCUGUGUAAACAAAACAACUCCACUCCUUCCACUCCUUUGUGUCAGAAUCAACAACAUCAAAGGUGUGGGUAUUGGGGGGAGGGUUACUUUUAUUUUUCAAACAACCCUAGAUUCUUGUUCACCAAUUUUAGUAUCUUCCUUCUGGGAUUGUCCUAAGUCACGCAGGAGAGAAAGUAACGUUCGAGAAAAAAGCUGGGUCGGCAAGUUUGGCUCCUGAGCCUGUGAACUAUGAAUCACCGCGGUGAAGAGUUUUUCUUUUCUUUUUUUUUUUUUCUCACCCUCUUCUUUUCUCCCGGAGCCUGAACUUGUUAGAUAAGAUAGAGGAGGCUACAAGGAAAUAGAAAUGCUGAAAAAGCCCAGCUCCUUUGGAGAGCAGCCUGUGGGUCUGGCAGGCGGCUGCCGCGCGCUCUCCCCCAGCUGAGGGGCACCGAGCUAGCUCCGGAGCUGUCCCAACUUGGGCCUCCUCGGCCCCCCGCAGUGCAAGACACCAAGCUCACACCGCUGCCUUGGCCGGCUUUCCUUUUGGCCUUAGAAUAAACACUCCGAAAGAGGAGACAACAGCCUCUAUUUGAGCUGAGUGUCUGUUCUCCCGCUCGAAACACAAAACAGGACCCGCAAGUUUUCCUAGAAGAAGUCCCAAUCACAAAACAGUCGGAGGAUGGGAAACACUAGAGAAGUCUGGAAUUACACAUGAAACAUUAUUUUCCAAAUUAGUUAAAAAUAAUUCUCUUUUCCUAUUUAUAUGCAUAUGCACGCUACUGAUUACACGUCCCUAUUUACUUGAAAAAAUACUUGGAGUAUCUUUAGUACACAUUGCUUAUUUUUUGUCCCCUUGAACAUUUACAGCUGAUAGUUUGGCUGGUUGGUAUCAAUUAGCACUGGAUAUUGCCCCAGGAUUGCUCCCCAGGGCGGACAAGUGGAGUCAACUUAUCUCCAGUGACUUUUUCCCUGCUCACGUGCACAUCCACGCCAGGGCUUCAGAAGCAGUUCAAAAUCUCCAGCCUUGGUUUCACUUGAGUUUGUUGUUGUUAUUGAUAAAUACUGGGUCAUACACGAGGCACUUGUCAGAGCCUUUGGCUCCAUCUCGCAGCUGCAGCUCCUACCGCGAUGUUUGAGUCCUGUCCUAGGAACUGGAAGGAUUUACUGGGAAAAGAAUUACACAUUCUCUGUUCCUUCAGUUUUGGAGAUGGUCCCUGAAGAUCAUCACGUCUGUUUGCUGUCACAUUUAUUUCUUGAUUGUUCUGCUAUGUGAACAAUGGGAAGAUGUGUGCAUCUUUCCCCCUAUCUUUUUAAAACAAUUAUUGAAAUUGUUUUAAAAAAGGGGGUGGGGGGAGAAAUAUUGAUCCCAGUCCUUUCCAUAUAUUUGGAACCAAAAUAACAUAGGUAGGCAAACAGAUAAUAGUUUUAAUUGGCGAGGGAUGGGUGGAUUGGUAGGUAGGCCCUUUGGGGCUUGUGUAACUGGAGUAAUGUAUACAGUUUAUCUUUUAGCUGCGCCGUAUAUUCUUUCCCUUGAUACAUAUUGCACAUGAACUGAAUCCAUAGCCUACUUGUCUUAGCAUGUUUGAAGCCCCAGACACCCAACAGUAUCAUUACAGGAAAGAGACAAAGACUCAAGGCAGGGAGGUGACUAACUUUGGGGCCAAUGGGGAAUUUAUCUUGACGUUGAACUUUUUUAGGAAGCGCACUCACUGGCUCAGAGUCCCUUGCUGCGCAGAGUUCAGGUCUUCCCCAAGCUGAAGUGCAGGGAGGGGGUGUGGAAAAAAAACAACUGAUUUUUGACAUUUCAAAGGGACUCUUUCUGUUUAUCAGUGUUACCGAAGUGUACGUUACUGGAGAAACAACAAAACAAGCAUAGAGCUGCAAUUUUCAAGAAAAUAGGAUCCCCAAAUAUAAAAAUAAAAAAGUAGCAGAUAAGAUGUAUAAUUCAAUCAAAUUACACAAAAUUGCUUGAAAAACUAGAACAGUAGCAAUCCAUUAUGCCUCUGUUUUAUUAGUGACAAGUACAAUUACUCUAAAAUAAAGAACACUGGUGAAUAUAUAAUUGGCUGUAAUCAUGUUAGUGUUUGAAUAAAAAUGACGGGAACAUUUAACACUUUGACAACAAAAUGUUCAGAAAUAACUUAUUUAUUCAAACAGUUUUUAUUUUCCACCAAGUGAAGGAGAAACACAGUUUGCUUAGGAAAAUCAAUGACUUUUCCCUGCAAUAAAUAAAUAUCCAAAAGGGGAAAAAAGCAGCCCCACACCUCUGUAUUAUUACUGUUAUUAUUUUUAACCAGCAAGAAGCUUAAUCCUGUGUUUGAAGUCAGCGCUCAUCUAGCCGCAGUUUGGUACCAAAGUCCGCCACCUAGAGGAAGAGCUCUGCAGCUCAGAACCCGUUUUUCCGCGGUGACCCGGGAAUCAAAGUCAAUAUUCCUUUGGAAAUUGCUCUCCUAACCAACUCCCCCUCCCUUACCCCUCACGUCCCCUUGUACCCUACAACGUCGUCACAAUAUUUUCUUAGUAAUUGCUUUGUACAAUUGACAGAAGCGCCGCGUCUCCAGCAGCGCGGUGCUCUCCCAGGAAAGCUUGAGGGCGCUGGGGAAGCUGAUCAGGGAAUAUUUGGUUCUGGAGAGACAAUCCACUUUCAUACACAGUGGUCUAGAGCAGCUUGACUUGGGGGCUCACGAAGUGACGGCUGGUGGAGGCAUCGCCACAUUCCAAUGCUUCCCCCCCGCCCCCGCCUCUGGCCACCAGUUGGUAUCGCGGGGGCUACUCCCGACUUUUCCCCAGCGCCCCCACUCCCCACCCAAGCGCGAAGAUCUAAGAUCCUGGCUUUAUUUAAUCAUCUACUCUGUUCUUGGAGCCCAGUGGGUCCUUUUAUUCUUCUAGGUGGGUUGCUUGAAGAACUGAGUUAAAAAGGUAUUAAAGAGGAGGCCAUGUUUGCAGGGGUCCCCCUGUGGUUAGGGAGACCGACCAGGAGAACCCCCAAGUUUUUACACUGAGCUGAGUCUCCGAGUUUCAAGAAACUUAGGCAGGGUGCGAGAGAAUUUGAGGUUGUACUCGGAAGCACCGGGAGCCUUUUUUGGAUUUUAGUCUUGGUGGAUCCUAUCGGCUCUUCACGCAGAAAAGCCAACCAUUGUCGAGCUCAUCCUCUCAAGUAAUUCUUGGAGAAGGGAGAUGCUAAACAAGGGAACGUGGGACUCUGGGAAGAAAUUUACCAACAGAAUUCGAGCGCUCAAAGUCUCCUUAACACCAGUACUGCAGACUCACUCUGCUAUGAGCCCCGCGCCUGCCCUCCAGGAAUGUCUCACCGCCCCACUCAUCCAAAGUUUUGUUUCUAUUGCCUUAGGGCACUUAGACUAUUGUUCAAGCUGAAGAUUUCCUAGAAAGAAUUGGGGUCUCACCCUUUCCCAUAGGCUGGAAUGCAGCAGUGUAGUCACAGCUCACGGCAGCCUUGAACUCCUGGACUCCAGUGAUCCUCCCACCUCAGCCUCCCAAGUACCUGGAACUACAGAGUCUUUGCUCUGUUGCCCAGGAUGAAGUACAGUGGCGUGAUCUCAGCUCACUGCAACCUCCACCUCCUGAGUUCAGGCAGUUUUCCUGCCUCAGCCUCCCAAGGAACUGGGACUACUGGAAUGCACCACCAUGCCCAUCUAAUUUUUGCGUUUUUAGUAGAGACUGGAUUUCACCAUGUUGUCCAGGUUUGUCUUGAACUCCUGAUCUUGUUAUCUCCCUCAUUGGCUGGGAUUACAGGGGUGAGCCAGAAUUCUUAUCUUUCUCUGACUAAGAAUUAAAUAAGUUUUUCUUCUUCAGGUGCUUUCUCUUUAUUUUUUCUUGGCCUGAAUGCCUUCUCGUGUCACUCUAUAUUGCCCAUCUGAAAGUCCAUCUGAUUGAUCUUCACUACUUCCUUCAAUUUAAUGACCAUAAUUUCUUAAUGAAUUCUAAAUAUUUACCUUUAGAUGAACUUAUUUUUGAAUUUCAGAUGUUAACAUUCAACUGCUUAUUUAUAAUCCCCAUCUAAAUGUCCCACGGGCAUCUCCAGACCAACAUAGUCAAAACUGAACCACUCAGCUCCUCAUCCCUUCCCCUCAAAUUUCCUUUUUAUUUUUGUUCACUAUCCAUUUAUUUAUGUAAGUCAAAACCUAGGUUUUCAACAAGAAAUCUGGCUUAAGAUCACAAAUCACAUUGGAAUGUUGAUUAAAGUAGGAUCUGGUCUACACGUGGUAACUGAAAAGCUUAAGGCUUUCAUAAUGUAGCUUAUGUAUCAUGAUACUGAACUGUGUUUUAUGAAGCAACAAUACCUAUAAAUAGCGCAGAAAGUUUUAUAACGUGCCUGAUAUUUGGGAAAUACCAAACUACAAAAGUUUGGCUCAUCUUUGGAUUUAAGCCUUUUCUAUCUAUUAUUUUUCAUGCUCUAGCUUACUGAAACUUGUGAAAAUAGCAUUCCCAUAAAUUUUAAUUUGAAUAUAUCUAAGAGUCUUCUAGAUUUUAUUUGUUUAUAUGUUUUUUAAUAUUUUGAAAUCCUGUGCAGUUAUCAAGCCCACUGCUUUUUCUAGUUGGCACAUAGCACCUUUUGUCUUCUCUCCAUAGCAUUGUCAAGAAGGACAUUUUAUUCUACACUAGCCAUUUAUGUCCAGCCCCACAAGUACCCAAAAUCUUAAUACUUUAAAUUAAAUUUAAUCAGGUUCGGGUCCAAAGUGGCUCCCGCCGGAGGUCAUGGCGAUCGCGAAGGUGAGGUCAUCAGUUCAAGGCUAACCUGAGCAACCUCAUAAAGCUCAAACUGACUGGCAAAAAACAAAACAAAACAAAAAAAAUUUAAUCAGGUUCUUGUACUGAAUUAUUUCCACUAUCCUAAUAUCAUUUUGCUUCAUAUCAUUUAAACUUAUAUUCUAGUAAAAUUUUUGUUUGUAAUUUUUGGUGCUCUGAUCUUUAAUAUGUAGAAACAAUUUUAGCAAAAGUUUAUGUGGUUUACAUUUGGGAAAUGCUUUAUCUUUCUGUUGAAGUUUCACCAUACAUGCUAACAUACUUAAACUCUGAAAAGUAAAGGCUUGUGGAAAAUGACACUUGUUUAGCUUGUUUAAUCCAGCAGUUCCCAUGGAACUUAAAAAAUGCGUAGCAUUUGUUAUACUAUUUAGUUUGAGAGAUCUACAACUUUAAAAUUGAUACUUAGCUUCAUGAAUACCUUUUCUAUUUCAGAGACUACAUAAGAGAGGAAAUCUUUCAUUUGUGAACAUUUUACUUUGUAGACAAUAUAGGAGUCUUUUUUCCCUUUCUGAAAUGGUUUCCUUCAUUGCUCACCAUUGCUUCAGAUAAUUUCCAAAACUCCUUGCCAACUAGUUUUAAGCAAACUUGCUUUCUGAAGGUGAGUUUCUCUUUUUCCCCUGUCCCCAUCCUCACAUUGCCAAGUCUUUGUGUCCUAUUUCUUCUACCUUUUUGCUUUCUUCCUUUCCUUUCUUACAUUCUAGUUUUGUCUUGCUGAUGUUCUUCCAACUUUAUAGAAUAUUAUUAUUUUUAUGUUGUCACAAUGACUUUACAGGAAAACAUACAUUACAGGAUAGUUGUUUACCUCAGAAUGCUUCAGUUAACAAAGUAUUUUGUGUAGAUUUUCCUUUAGUCUGAAAUCUCCAUACCUUAGAUGAGUUCCAUCACCUGACUUUUCAGAAACACAUCAGUUAUAUUAAAAUGAAGCAUAUCUGUAACAUGCUUAUAAGAAUGUGCUAAUGUAAUAGCACUAAGGGAAGAAUAGUGUUUUGGCAGAUACAUUUUUAAUUAAUUGCUUUAAUAAAAGUAGCUAAAACUCUAUCUUCCACAAGGCAUAGAACAUGUACUUCAGUAUUUAGGUCAGCUCAUACACGACUAUUAACUGGCAGGGAAGUCAGUGCUCUUUGUUACAUGGAUACAACAAUAUCAGAGAACUGUUAGAAUAACUUAAACUUCUCUAAUGAGCUUCAGGGCUUUAAUGAGAAGAUUUUCUAUUCUUAUGUGAUCAGUAUUGCUCUGUGCUAGAAAGAGAACUCUUUUUUUUCCUGAAGGAAAUGUAGAGUAAAAUAGUUCAAGAUAAAUGAUUAAGAGGAAGUUAAGAAGUGGUUAAUCUCUUAUAGCCCAAUGGAGAUUAAUUAUUGAUAACAAGUAACUGCCACCAGUAUAGGUAGGCUCUCCAAAUAAUCAUUAUAGCUUAGAAUAAAGUAGCAAGAACUAUUUUUAGUCUACCAGCAUUUUAAUCAUUUAUUUUCUGCAUUCAGUCAAUCAAGCAAUUAGCGUAGACUGGCUAUAAAAUUGUGUUAUAAGUUUAGAGACACUCGUAUAAUUCACAGUUGGUCUUGAGUAUUUUUUCUAUAAAAAUAGUCACAGCAAAUCAUUAUAUCAAAAUGGACAAACUGGUUUGAUGUGUGUUUAUAUGUAUGUCUAGGUACACUUCUCUGUGUGUUUGUGUGUGUAGGUAUGUAGCUGUGUGUGUGCAUACACAAAUUUGGAAAAUCAAUAGGUUAGAAGAAACAGAAUAAUGAAGGAAAAUGAGAAAAAGAUAGUCAUAAAGAGUCACUGAUAAUAAGGAAAACAUUAUCAGGUUAUGUGAGCAUAUAUAAUCAGUGGCCUUUUUGUACAAAUACAUCUGUUUUGAGAUAUUAGAUUCCACUGACAUCAGCUGAAGCAGAUUUCAGGAUGUCAAGGAGAAGUAGUGAGAAGUAGAAGUGACUGUAAAAGUAGUAGAAGUAGAAGCAGUGAAGAUGUCAAGAAGUUUUUGAAAGAAGUAAAAUAGAGGUAGAUGGUCAUCACAUUUAAAUAAAGGUUAACAGACUCUAAAUAUACAGUCAAAGAUAUUUAGGAAAAUAGAAUGGAUUUUAAAUUUUUAUUGGGAAAACUGAUUGUAAAGAAGAAGGAGUAAAAGCAAAUACUAGAAUAAAAACACUGGACAGGGAAAUGAUUUUGUUGUUGGUUUCAGCUAUCUCCGAAUGUGUGUUUAGGUUUUAACUUCAGCAGGAGACAUCACAUUUAUUUAAAAGAAGAUCUACAUUGAUGAUGUCAUAAUCCAGCUAUGCUUUUUGAAGCUUAUGGGGAAAGACAAUCUCUUGCGUGCAGUCUUUUCACUCCCACUGGGCCACAUAAAAAUGGGCAUGGAACCCUUCCUUACCCAUAAUUAAGGGGGCCCACACAGGCUGACCAGGGCUUAUGGCCUUAUUUGGGAAUAUCUUUUGCUGUUUCAGACUCAGUGUAUACUUCUUUGUUCUGUGUGUGUCUGAAUAGUCCUCAGACAUGUCCUCUCCCCACAAUUUUUUUCCAGAUACCAUAGAAAGGAGGUCAAGGUUCUUUCACUGCAGCACCAAGUGGAGUACAUGAAGCCGCACUGCCCACGAAGGCUGCGGCGUGAGUCUGCUAGCUGUGAAAGACAGAUGCAUUACAAGGGGAUAGAUUUAAUGCACUUUUCUUAUCUUACUGUGAAUAGAUGCUGCACUUCUUGAGCCUGGAAUGGGUGUUGUCUGUUCUCAAUGACCUUGAAUCAUACAUUGUCUUUUUAUUUUUUUCCCCUGGGUGGCAUUUACUGGCCUUUUAACAUUGGCUGCACUCCUGAUAUUCUAUCCUGCAGCACAGCCUGAACACCCAGUGAACAAUGAAGUAAACCUUCUUCCCAAACUUCAGUGAUGAUUGUGCCACGGUUUGGAGGUAGGAGAAUUUCAAGCCAUUAAUCACCGAUCAAUACUGAAUGUGACUGAGAAUGGCUCCUUCAGGUCUAUCAGCUUAUUGCUGCUUCUGUGUCAUUCUUAGACCAAACAACAAUGGUAAUCAACUCAGUUUGGCUGAUUUGUGCCUUUAGUUGAACCUUCUCAGUUGGACCACACAGCCAUUCUUCUCUUCAGUCUCAUAGUCUUUCCUUCAGGAAUUCUGCCAGGAAUAAGCAACAAGUUUCCUACUGCUCAGGGUCCCCUCUAGACCUCUCUUAUUUCAUGUUCAGAGGAAUGUACUCCAUAUACUGUCUUAAACUCCAUCUUUCUUCUGUUAUUUUUUUCACAUUUGACAUUUAUACUCAUUAAAACUAGAAUCUGAAUAAUUACCACCAAAGAUAUUGUUUACCCCCUCCCUCUUUUUUUUUUUGCACCAGAGAGCUUAAUCUUUAAAAUGUUCUGUGAGAGAUGGGAAUGGUAGGUAUACUGUCUUUCUAGUGUGGAAAAAGUAGGGAGAAUGACACAAUAUUGUGUUUAUAUUAAGAUUAUUUGAAUAUAAAUACUUUGUCAAAUUUGUGUUUAAGCGUGCAUGUUAUUUUUAAUAAUUAGAGUGAUAUAUGUAUAUAUAUAUAUAUAUCUUAAGAAAUAGCAAAUUUUUUUAUCAAAUUGGAGUCAAGGAGGCAUGGAAAUUCUUUUCAUUUUAAGUGCUCCUAAAUUCCUGCUUAUUCUGUGUUUAAAAUUAUAUCAAAAAGAUAAUUUGAGAUUAAGGUAAUUAAUCAGAAAUUUUAAUUAAAAAAGAAAUUGAAAACGUAAGUAAAAUUUCCUGUGGAAUUGUAGGGUUUGUCAUCUACACAGAUAAUAUUCACUAAGUAGAAUAGUAAGUCUUUUCUUUCCUCUUAUGAAAAGAUUUUUCUCUAAUUGUCAUUGACUAUAUAGUAAAAUGAAGCUAGAUUAUAUAAAUAUUCUUAUUGAUUAAAAGUUUAAAAUUGCCUGUCUCCCAAGAAAUAUGCCUGAAUUCAAGAAUAUCUGUGGCAAAGAAUAUCUUCUUGCAGUUUUUUUUCCUACUGUAAAUAAAGGGUCAACCAACAUCUAAUAACUCACAACUGCAUCUUUUCUUGUUAGAACAUGUCGCCCAGCACUUUUUGAUUAGAUGUUCUCAGAUAAUAGCUGGGGCAGAUUGACCAAAGGAGAGCAAUUUUUUUUUAAUCAGGAUAACAUAAUGAUUCUUUCACAAACUUUAGAUAGGGCUAUGGAUAUCACCUUUUUUUUUGUCUAUUAAUAGUGCUGUAUUUUUAGUGGAAUUAAAGAUGAGACCUUCUCCAGGUUUCAAUACAACUUUAUAAAAGGGCAUAACAAUGCCUUUAAAAUCAAAUCUAUUAACUGUUCUACAGAGAAUCCGAUUUUCUAGUAACUUGGCCAUAACUUGAGGACAGCGACCCUGAAAACUCCAAGCAUCUGCCAGAAAUCUGAAUUAUCUGCCAACUAAAGUCAGUAAUCUUGGCUCGUCUCUGCAUAAGUUAUUUUGUGGACAUCAAUUUCAUCACCUAUGAAAGAAGAGAGUUGUCCAACAUGUUGUGAGGUCUUCCAGUUGCAAGUUCUUUGGAUAAUUUGAUUGGAACCCAAGAGAUGUCCUAAAUCUGACUGACAUGCAGUAAAUGUUUGUUGAUUAUGAAAAAGUAUUUGACUUCCAAAUAGGUAGUAAAAUAUCUUGUGUGGACAUACUAUGGCAACUUAACACUUAUAAUUUUGGGAGCAGAAAAAAUGUAAUUAAGUCACAAAUGCAAAUAAAUUCUUUCUUUAUUUAAGUCAAAGAAAAAUAGUUGUCAACAAACAAUCUGAAUUAAGAGAAAAAAACCAUCCAUAUACUGGUUGAAAAUAGUAAACAUUAUUUUUUUGUGAAGUGCCCCAACUGGGUGGUUUACAUAUAUUAACUGUAAUGAUGUAUUAAAAACAAUUUUCACCUGCAUUUAGUUUAACUGCAUUUAUGCUUUAUGAAUAUCACCAGUGUAAUUAUUAUUUUAAAAAUAUGUAGCUGGAGAAAUAAACAUUUAGACAGGUAAGAAAACAGACUGAAGUUUUAAAUUUUAUUUUUAACAGUCAUUCUAAAAUAAUUAUCAUUAUAUAUUUGUAUGACUGUUACAUGUUGAAAUAAAAAACAUGGAAGUGUCCUUUUAAUUAACCAUUGUUAUGUAUAGAGAAUUAAAACAUUUUAUGUAUAUAAAGUUACUAAUAAUUUUUUGAGCACAUAGACUGUUCUACAUACUUACCUAGAUUUACUUUUUAACUCUUGUAAUAGCCCCGUGAACUAUCUACUGUUAUUGUCAUUAUUCCCAUUGGGCAGGUGAGGAAACUGAGGUCUAGAGAAGUUCAUUAAUUUGGCUAAAGGCACACAGUCAAUAAGUGGUAGAGACAAGGUUUGAACCCUGGUAUUCUGGUUUUAUGCUUUUAACCAACUGCUUCUUAGUGGUAUCUUAUUGUGAUGAUUUUGGAAAACACUAUUUAUUUAUUUGAAAUGUAUUAAUAGUCCUUAUUUAUCUACAAGUUUAGUAAAGAAAAAAUUAACCUUUCUAUAUAUUCAAACAAGAAGCAUAAUUUUCCAUUUUUAUCAUCUGCAAUUUGUUUCCCUAUGCUUUGUGAAAUGACAAGCUUUAUAUCAACAUUUAAUUUUGUUUUAAUCAUUUGUAUGAUUUGCUUGCCUUUGUGCUAUUAAAUAGAACGUAUCAAUGCUUUUUCUGCAUUUAAUAUUUAGGGAACCAAUUUCUGAUGAGUUGCCAUGAGUUGAGAAACUCUCUGUAUGUACUCCAUGAAAUUGUAAGUAGCCAAUACAUGUCUCUACACAUUCCCUUAGGAGGACUUAUUUAGGUCUAUCAGAAUUAUUUUAACCCAAAAUAUGUUUCAUUUAGAAAUGAUUGGAUCAUGUUUUACUCAAGCAAUUGAUAUUAAAUCACAUUAAUAUUACUUCAUUUUUUAUUCAGAGGUUUAAAACAUCUGUCCCUUUUACUGUUUUUAAAAACUUAACACUGACAAUUUUUAUAUGUUUUGAUAUCAAAUAUAAUAAAUUAUAAACAAAUCAAGAAUAAUAACAAAAUAAAAGGAAGAAAGAUGAGGAAAAAUCAGUCUAAUAGUAUACAGUAAUUUCUUUUUUCAGUAAGGGAAAUUACUGCUUAUUUGCAAUAGAAUCUAUCUAUUCCAAGCUCUUUUAAAGAUAAUUUCUGUUGCAAAGUGAGAACAUUUGAAGUUCUAUUUGAAAAAUGCAGUACUUCUGCCCUGGUGAGAAUAGAUAAGCUUUCAGGUUUCUUCUUAUGGAAAAGAUAAGCCCACUGCUACUGCUGCUGCUGCAAAAAGGAAAAGAAAGUUUUAAAAAUCUGUUAGUAGACACAUGUUAGCAGGAAAACAGUUCCCCAGGGCUGGAAAAACAAGCAUCUGCCAUUGAUUUUGUACUCAGUUGAACUUUAGAGAGUCACAUUGAUACAUUAUUAGAUGAGGAAUUACACAGGUUUCAGUGAGUUCCUAAUGAAACCAGUAUUUUAAAAAUUAAAAUAUUUUGAUUUGCUUAACCUUUAACUUAAGUUGUAUUGUGUUAGUCUUAUUCAAACUCAUUCAAAAUGUUUAUGGGAUUUUUUUCAUGAUCUUCUGAUAAUUUUUUUGAAAACUUUGCAUUUCGGGGUUGUAAAUAUAGCUUAUCUGAACUCUAGAAGUCAUAUUGGUCAGGGUUUCUGGAAGUAAUGAGAAAAGUUAUCUAGAGUAUCUACCUAUCGGUUAGAAUGCUUUGUGAAGCAAGUGACUGAAAAUGUAUUAUCUUCCAGGGAUGUCAUCAAGGUGAGUUGGUUUAGCAGCUUAGCCUUGUCAUCAAGCAUUCCAGUAUUGCAAUUCUUUCAGCCUCUCUACUCUGCUGCCUGCAACAAAUGUUUAUACAAAGGCUGAUUUCUUUGUGAUGUGAAAUGGCUUUAUGUUUGUCCAGUGUGUGUGAGUGGCAGGGGGAGGGGGCUUUUCAUGUGUAUAAGUGAAUUAAGUUGAAAUUAUUUAGGAAAGGGAGAACAAAAAGGAAGAAAGAAUACUGGAUCAUCAAUUUCCAACACAGGAAAGAAUAUGAAGUCUUGCUCUGUCACCUAGUCUGGAGUGCAAUAGUAUGACCAUAACUCACUGCAGUCUCAAAUUCCUGGGCUCAAGCAAUCCUCUCACUUAACCUCCCAAGUGGCUGGGACAACAGGAUCUCACUCUGUUGCCCAGGCUGGAGUGCACUUGCAUGACCGUAUCUCACUGCAGCUUUGACCUCCCUGGCUCAAGUGAUCAUCCCACCUCAGCCUCCCAAGUAGCUGGGACUACAGGGGCAUAUAUCCUUGGCUAAUGUUUUAAAAUUUUUGUAAAAUUUCUUGCUGUGUUGCACCUUUCUUAUGUUUUAUCUGACAUCUAUAUAAUAUUAAAGUAGGCUAGAGUGUUGCAUUAAGGAAUAUUUCAUUUUCUACUUUUUAAAAUGCUAAAAUUAAGUUUUAUUCUGAAAUAAGUCUGAGUGUAUAGAAAAAUUGCAAGACCAGGAUAAUGACGUUUUACCUAAACCACUUAAGUGAGUUAUCAAUACAAUGCCCCAUUAUUCCCAAAUGCUUCAUUCUGUAAUCCUUACAAAGACAUUCACCUACCAAUACAAUAAUCAAAAAAAAAAAAACAUUGAAACAUUACUAUCAGAUCCUAUGUUUCAUUUAGCUUUCUCUUAAAAAAUUAGUUUAGUUUUUAGAGUUGUUUUAGCUUCACAACAAAAUUGAACAUAAUGUACAGAAAUCCAAAUACCUUCAUCCUCCCCCAAUAAUCUCCCACGCUACAACUGUUGAGAUCCUGCAACAAAGUGGUGCAUUUGUUAUAAUUGAUAAACCUGCAUUAACAUGUCAUUAUCACUCCAAGUCCAUAGUUCACCUUAAAGUUUACUCUUGGUGUUGUGAAAACUAUUAUAUUUGACAAAUGUGUAAUGACAUGUAUCCACCUUUGUAAUAUCAUACAGAAUAGCUUCACUGCCCUCAAAAAUCUGUUCCACCUCCUUUCCUCCCACCUAACCCCUAGCAACCACUGAUCUUUUUACCCUCUCCACAGUUUUGGGGUUGUCCAGAAAGUUACUUAGUUUGAAUUAUAUUAGUAUGUAGCCAUUUCGGUGUGGCUUUUUUUCCCUUAGUAAUAUAUAUUUAAGUAUCCUCCCUGUCUUUUCAUGGUUUGAUAGCUCAUUUAUUGUUAGUGUUGAAUAAUAUUUUAUUUUCUGCAUACACUAUAGUUUAUGUAUUGAUUCACUCUCUAAAGGACAUCUUGGUUGCCUCCUUAUUAUGAAUGAAGAUGCUGUAAUCUGCAUUCGAGAUUUUGUGUAUGCAUGCAUUUCCAACUCAUUUGGAUAGACACAAAGAAGUUAAAUUGCUGAAUCAUAUGGUGAAAGUAUGUUUAAUUUUGUGAGAAGCUGCCUACAUGUCUUCCAAAGUGGCUGUAUGAUUUCACAUUCCCGUCAGGAACAAAUGAGAAUUUCUGUUUCUUCUUGUUCUCACCAACAUUUGUGUUGUGGGAAUUUUGAAUUUUCACCAUUCUAAUAGGUAUGUAGUGGUAUCUCACUGGUGCUUUAAGUUGUAAUUCCCUAAUACUUUAUCAUUUUAUGUGAUGAAUUUCCACCUGUAUCUUCUUUGGUGAAGUGUCUGUUCAGAUCUUUUGCCCAUUUUUUAAAAAAUUAGUUAAUUUUUUUCUUACUAUUGAGCUUUGGGUAACAGCCCUAUAUCAAAUAAGUCUUUUGCAAAUAUUUUCUCCCAGUCUGUGUCUUGUCUUCUCACUCUGCUGACAUUGUUUCUGCACAACAGAUUCUUUUAAUUUUAAUGAGGUCCAGUUUAUUUAUUAUUUCCUUCACGAAAUCACACUCUUGAUUUUGUAUCUAAAAAGUCACCACCACACCCAAAGUCAUCUGGAUAUUCUUCUAUGUUUUCUUCUAGGGUAUUAUAGUUUUGCAUUUUAUAAUUUAGGUCUGUGAUCCUUUUGGAGUUAAUUUUUGUGAAGAGUAUAAUAUCUGUGUUUAGAUUCAUGUGUUUUGACAUGUGAAUGUCCAGUUUGUGCUCAUACCAUUUGUUGAAAAUCUUUUUUUUUCAUUGUAUUACCUUUGCUUCUUUGUCAAAGAUCAAUUGACUGUAUUUAUAUGCGCGUAUUUGGGUUUUCUAUUCCAUUCUCUUGGUCUGUGUGCCUCUUUUUUCCCAAUGUCAUAUUGUCUUGAUCACUUUAACUGUGUAGUAAGUCUGGAAGUUAGGUAGUGUUAAUCCUCCAGCUUUUUUUUUUCUAUAUUGUGUUGGCUCUUCUGGAGCCUUUAUCUCACCAUAUAAAUGUUAGAAUCACUUUGUUGAUAUUCACGAAAUACUUUUCCAGGAUUUCAAUUAAGACUGCAUUUAAUGUAUAGAUAAUUUUGAGAACUGGCAUCUUGACAAUAUUGAUGCUUCUAUACAUAAACAUGAAACAUCUGUACAUUUAUUUAGUUCUUCUUUGAUUUCUUUCAUCAGAGCUUCAUAGUUUCUCUUUAUAUAGAUAUUGAACAAACUUUGUUGGAUUUACCAAAGUAUUUCAUUUUUUGGUGCUAAUAUAAAUGAUACUGCAUUUCUAAUUUCCAAUUCAAUUUGUUCAUUGCUGAUAUCAUGUUAGUUUUUAAUCUUCUUCAAACUCAAGCAGUCUCUCAGUCUUUCCUAGACUUUCCUAACUUCUACAUGAAAAUUUUAUGCAAAUUAUUUAAUAGGAUGUCUCUAAAUUUAGGCUUGUCUAAUUUUUCAAUGUAAUUGGAUUCAGGUUAUGCAUUUUUGAUAGAUAUAUCUUAGAGUGGUACUGUAUUCUUCUUAUUGCAUCCUGUCAGGUGGUGCAUAGUUUAAACUUGUCCCAUUACUGAUGAUACUAACUUUGACCACUUUACUAAGCAGUGAUUGCCAGCUUCCUCCACUGUAAUGUCAUUCUUUUUAUCUUCUAAAUUAAAUAAAUAUUUUAUGGGAAGGCAUUUAACGGCUAUACUACUAUUCUAUAUAUCAUUAAACUGUUAUGAGUUAAUUUUUUCGAUUAUUGACUGCUAUGCAACAAAACACUAAAAAAUAUAAUGGCUUGGGCCGGGCGCGGUGGCUCAUCCUGUAAUCCCAGCACUUUGGGAGGCCGAGCCGGGUGGAUCACGAGGUCAAGAGAUCGAGACCAUCCUGGUCAACAUGGUGAAACCCUGUCUCUACUAAAACUACAAAAAAUUAGCUGGGCAUGGUGGUGUGUGCCUGUAAUCCCAGCUACUCAGGAGGCUGAGGCAGAAGAAUUGCCUGAACCCAAGAGGUGGAGGUUGUGGUGAGCCAGGAUCAUGCCAUUGCACUCCAGCCUGGUCUGUUGUGUUGAGUGGGCUCAGUUAUACCAUUCCUUUUUGGCCUCUUAUAAUACUGAAGUCAAAUGACAGUUGGCCUGCAGUCCUCAGGAGGCUUGUCUUGGCUGGAUGUACAAGGUGCUCACUGACAUAUAUAGAUCUAAAGUUGAGUCUGACUGUUGGCUGGAACCUCAGCUGGGGCUGCGAAAGGUUUCCAACCAUAGCCUCUCCACAUAAUUUAAGUUUAUUGCAACAUGAUGACAAAUUCUGAGACAGAAGAAGAGAGAAAGGAAGGGAGUUAUGAGUGUCCAUUCCAGGAGACCUAGGUGGAAACUGCAAGACUUUUUAUAAUCUAGACUUGGAAGUACCAGAACAUUACUUCCAGUGUAUUCUAUCUGUAAAGCAAGUUAUAUUUAGUUCAUGUCCUGAUGUGAGAAAUAGUAUUGUGUACAGGGAAAAAGAACGUCACAUCUAUUUUUGUAGACUGAUAAAGUUGUUUCUGGGCUGAGUUAAUAAUGCCAUGCUAGCUAUUUAUUUCUGAUUUUCUAGUUCUGCCAUUUGUUCUACAUUUAUUAUUAGUAUUUGGUGUUAGUUGGGAUUCCCUAGGAAAACAGGACCAAUAGGACAUAUCUAUAACUGUUUUCCAUAAAGACACACACACACACACACUCCACACACACAUGCACAUUCAAUCUGUUGGUGGCCUGACUAGAGCAAUAGGCAAAGGCAAGGGGAAAUUUGUAUCUCUUCCUGAUAUCAGUCAGCUUUUUCCCGCUCUACACAGGGACUAACAUCAUGAGCCCUCUGGUUCUCAGAACUGUAACACUAGUUUUCCUGGGUCUCCAGCUUUUAGAAGGUAGAAUCAUGAGACCUCUCAGCAUCCAUAAUUGUGUGAGCCAAUGCCUUGUAACAAAUCUCCUACAAACAUAUGUAUAAAUGUGCAUAUAAAAAUAUAAUAAUAUACAAAUAUAGAUACAUAUGUUUAUGUGUAUAUAUGUAAUUAUAUUUAAGGCUAUUUACAUGUAAAGAAAGGAAAAGCAAUGUAAAUAUGUGUUUUCAUCUGAAGUAAAUGUCAGAUUUUGUCUUUGUUUAAACUUUGGGCAAUGCUGCUGAUUACAUUAACUUACAAUAUAAUUUCACUUGCACCACCAGAGUAAAAUCUUAGUGUGUUUUAUUUAUCUAAUAAAUUUAUAACAUCCACAUGGCUUUAUUGUGAUAUUAUUUCAACUUAAAAUGUAAUUCCAAAAUUCAUAGUUAAUUUUAAGUUGGACUAAUUCUAAGCUGAAAUAAUCAAUAAAUAAUCUUUGGCUAUUUGAAAUUUAUCUUCUUAGAAAUUAAAAUGAGUAUUGACAGAAAAAGCGGAUACAUAGUUACCACACAAUCGUUUUUACUUAUGUAUUCUCGGCUACAUGUACUUGUUCUUCAUUCAGAUUAUGAUGGUAGAAUCAUU